ACACACACUGCUCAUUCCCACGCUGUUCGACCCCAUCCGAACCCCAGCAAGCUCUCCAGCGGAGCGGAGCCACCGGCUCGGCGGCUGCCUGCGUGCGGGCCGCGUGACCCGGCGGAAGCACACCGGCUAUCAGGGCAUCACUGCAUCAGGCACCGGCAAGCAAACAACAGUCCAGCAGACAUUAGGCUUGGUGAGCACCGCUGAAACUGAACACUGAUGAAUUCUUAUUAAUUUGUGACUUGAUGAGCAUGAUUUUGAGCAAUGUGCAGUGCACAAAUGCAAUUUUGGUUAGAAAUUUCUUAUUAAUUUGUGAAUUCUAGAGCCUAGAGGCUAGAGCAAAGGCACAGUCUGUUUCUAAAACAGUGAGUGGUGAGCUGACUCUCCAUUUCUCCAAUUGUUGUGAUGAAUUCAUGAAUAAUGAAUAUUGUCAAAGAGGAUUGCUUGUUAAUUUGUUAAUUAUAAUAUGUAGAGUAGAGCAAUGCAGUGAGGAUAAUAUUUUUUAUUGCAAUUUUUAGGUUCAAAUCAUGAAGAGGAACAAGGGUAGUAGUGCUAUGUUGAUCAUUUAGUGCAUCUUUAUAUUGAACAAUUCCAAAAUAGAACAAUUCUAUCUAUCUAUCGACAGAUAAGUCAAAAUAAAAUAUGUCUAAUUUUAACCCAUCCAUCGGCUAGCUAGCUACUAGUUUCUCUUUAAGUUUUCAGCUACAUCUACAUGGUGAUACAACCUGGCCAGUGCAUUAUCACCGGCGGCAGCCGGCAGCAGCCAACAUGCAACAACACUGCAGCAGGGGAGCAGCAGCGGCAUCGAGCAACACCAGGUCUCUAUUCUUGUAUGUUUUUUUUGAACCAAACCGUGGGGCAAAGCCCCCCGGCAACUUUUAAUUAAAAGGGGUGAGACAAAGUUACAGCAUCAUCCUCCCAUAUAAUUCCCAACUUAAACCAGCGCCUAACAGAUAAAGUGCAAUCGAAGAAAAUAUGUUCCAUUGUUUCUUCAACCCCAAGCUGACAGAGCACACAGUUAUAUCCUUCUUCCAAGAAUUUCUUUCUCCUUCUCAGCAUAUUCCUGGUAUUUAACCUGUCAUUCAGUAAUAACCAUGCAAAGAAUUUGAUACGUGGAAUGCAUUUGGAUUUCCAGAUCCAAGUGGCAGUCGGUUGGGGCUGUAGGGUUCUGAAGUGAUACUUGUAGUAUGCAGCCGAGGUGUAUCUUUGCUGGCCGGCCUGGCCUCAUAUAUAGACCCAAAGGUCUUUUGACUCCAACUGUGUAGGACCUAGGGCAUGCAACAGGUUUUGUAGCAUGAUGAAUUCAUUAUGGGCCUGCCUUGUCAUGGGAAUUCUGAAACAUUCCAGCACUUGAUCAUUGUUCCUGAUCCCCCAGAGGGAUAUUUUUGGAUUCUUUGCAAAGCUGAAGAGGUUGGGGAGAACAUCACUGAGUAUCCUUCCAUCUAUCAGAUCAUACCAUAGGCUGAUUGUGUCCCCUGUGUUUGGGAUCUAUUCUUGUAUUGUUGAUACUCCAGUUCUUGGAUCUUGGUUGCAAAUAUUGGUUUAGAGACAUAGAGUUCACUGAUUUGUGGUGCUUGUGCUUCUAGUAGCAACUGCAAGUUUGAAAAAAGUCUAUUCUAUCAUGAAUUGUGUGUAUUAAUUAUUAGUUUGUUUCAUGCAUAUCUUAGAGCCGAUUAGCUGACCAAUUUGUUAUCAUAUUUGUGACUUUAAUACAGGUAAAAUAUCUCUGAUUACAUAUCGUCCGACUAAUCGCGAUUAGUCGCGAUUAGUAGGUUUGAUCGGUUGUUAGCACUCGAUAAGGUGUAAUGAUUCGAUCAGGGUAGCUGAUGGUCCUUAUCGUCCGCCUAAUCGCGAUUUAUAGCGAUUAAUCACCGUGUUGGGCGAUCAGCCGAUAGGCCUGGUAGUCCAAAAGCCAUUUUAGGCGCCUGGUAGUCCAAAAGCCAUUUUAGGCUUAAAUGCUGUCUGGGGGAGGCCAAAGGACGCCCAAUCCCUUCAGAUACAGCUUGGGUAGACGUGAGCAGUCAACAGUCCUUUAAAUGCUGUCUGGGAGGCCAAAAGACAUUUUAGACGUGAGCAGUCAGCAACACCAGCCUUCUCCCCCAUUUUAUACAUGAGCAGUCAGCAGCCUUCUCCGCCAUUUUAGUCGCGAAAAACAGCAGCUGAGAAGUCCAACCUCAGAUGAGCAGCUCUUCUGAAGGUAUGGAUGUUGUGCUGCUUUUGCCUGUUCUUCACUCUUUGUUCUCUGCUCUCUCCCUCCUCUGUUCUUCAUUCCUCUUUGUUCAGCAAGGUCUGGACUCUGGAGGCAGAGCUGCUAUUAUGAUGUUUGACGUUGCAGAUAUGCAUGGACAUCAUGGUGAUGGACGUCGUGCUGCUGCUGUUCAAGUCAUCUUCCCGCAGUCCCAAAUUGCCCGAGGGAAGGCGUCCUCUGUGGCUGAAACUGGCAGCACAGAUCAUGUUCCGUCGACGUCGUCAACUGCUGCAGACUCAAGCACGCUUGCUGACAAGGCAAUAGCAGGUCUGCCUCCAGACCUUCUGAACAAGCUAACGAUUCGAAGCGGAAGGCUAAGUCACAGGACCCUGGCUGGAAGUUCGGUUGGUGGCCUGAUCCGUCUAAGAAGGAGUUCGUGCAAUGUAUCUUUUGCAUGAAAGUGGUGCCCUCUGGAAUAAAGAGGUUCAAACAGCACCUCGCCAGUGGAUUCGGCGACACGAUGAAGUGUGCAAGGGUUCUAGAGGUUGUUUCAAAGGACAUGCAAGCUUAUCUUAAGAAGAACACAAGGUCUGCACUUGUUUUGGAUGACGAUGAAAGUAUAGAAGGAGAAGACGAUGCUGCUGCUGCUGCCCCCGUUCAAUCUGAACCAAGUUCUGGUACUAAAUACAAGCAAGCAAAGAAGAAGGUUUCUCAAGCUGCAAUGUCCUCCUUUGUUGUCUCUGCUCCUCCGAAGCCAACUACUCAAAAGGUAGUAAAUCAGUAGCUGUCAUGCUUUGCAAGAGCCCAGAAGAAGUGAUUGCCGAACGGCACAACAACAAAGCUUCCCAGUCCACUCUAGAGCACUGCACGAAGAAAGGCAAGGAGGCCCAGCAAAUUGUUGAUGACCACGUUGCUGAUUUCUUCUACGAGAACAACAUGUUGGAGUCGAUAGGGCAGUAUGGUCCUGGCUACCGUGGCCCAUCGUACCACGACAUUAGGGUUCCGUGGCUUGAAAGGGCUGUCGAGAGGACAUCAUCAAUGACGGCGAAGCAUGAAGAAUCGUGGAAGGAGUAUGGCUGCUCAUUGAUGUCAGAUUCAUGGACAGAUGUUAGAGGACGUCAUCUAAUCAACUUUUUGGCAAACAGUCCAGCAGGGACACACUUUCUGUGCUCUAUUGAUGCAUCAAGUGAGAUAGCUAAUGCCAACAUGUUGGCAGAUUUGCUAGAAAAUCAGAUUGACAAAAUUGGCAGAGAAAAUGUAGUGCAAGUAGUAACUGACAAUGGGCAAACUUCAAAGCUGCUGGGAGGCUUCUUAUGGAGAGGAUUCCACAUUUGUUUUGGACACCGUGUGCUGCCCAUUGUUUGGAUUUGCUGCUGGAGGACAUUGGGAAGAUUAAGUACUUCAACACUUGCAUCAACCAAGCAAAGAGGGUGUGUCGGUUCCUAUACAAACAUGGGAGGCUGCACAACCUUAUGAGACAAAUGAUUGGAGGUGACCUUGUUAGGCCCGGUAUUACUAGGUUUGCCACGUCUUUUCUCACCCUGGCUAGCAUGCUCAAGCAUAAGAAUGGUUUGAAGAGUGUGUUUAUUAGUAACGAAUGGCAGCAAAGCAAGUUCUCCACCAGUCAAGAAGGCAUCCAAGCUGAAAAUAUUAUCCUCUCUACAGAGUUUUGGAAUAGUGUUGAGUUCUGUCUACGAGCUUCUCAACCAAUUCUCAUUGCCCUAAGGAUUGCUGAUGGUGAUGAGACACCUGCUGCUCUGGAGAUUAUGACAGCUAUGGAUAAAGCAAAAACCACCAUCAAAGAGGUAUUAAAUAAUAAGGGCAAAUUACUGCUGCAAGCCUCUAUACUAUAUAAUUAUAUAUCUAUAUAUAGUGUUAUAUAUGACUAUAUGUCUAUAUAUAUAUAUAUAUAUCAUAUAUGUCCUCGAGUACACAGGACGACCAGGGGGACGAUUAGGGUCGAUCAGGGGCGAUUAAUCGCCCUGAUCGACGUCUAAUCGCCUGAUCGCCCAGUGGCUUCGAUCAGGCGAUCUGAAAACUAUGUAAAAUACUAUAUAGUUAUAAAUUUUUUGAAUCGGACCAUCCUACUUCAUGCCCAUUUCCUAUAAAUUGUAUAUGGUUGUUGUUUGCUAAAAAAAUGGCAAAUGUGGCUGUGCAAGAACCGUGAGCCGCAGACGAUGAUUUCUACGACCUCCACCACCACUGGCUCAUCGCGCCAACAUGACCCACCUCCACUGCCAUUUGAUGGACAGUUUUAAAAUCCGACACCACGCCACUGCCAGUGCGUGGACAAGCAGCCGGCAGUCCAGUUUGUCUCGUGGACCUGUGCUAACCCAAUGAGAAGAUUUACCGUCUGUCCUCUUAGAUUUAGCAAUCCGAAUGGCAAGUACGAGCUUUAUCAGUGGAAUGACCCUGACUUUUCCGAAUUUCAGAAGAAAACAAUGCAGAGUUGAGGGAGAAGAUUAUUAGUUUGGAGAACGAGGUUUCGAGUUUGGAAGCAGAAGUAGCUCACAUGGAUGAAUUGGCGAUGAAUGUUGCUAAGUUGUGAGAGAAGGAUCUGUUGCUGCAAGGGAAGAAUGAUUUGCUGCUUCCCCAUGCGACUACUGUUUUUUUCUUCAGUGAUCCUUUUAGCCUGUUGGUGCUAUCCCUUUGUCGCAAGUGUCGAGUAGGCUGUUAGUGAUCUUUUUAGCCCUUAGUGUCAAGUAAGUGAUGAAUUAUGUCAUUAUGGAACUUCAAGUAGCAGUGGAGCGGCGGUGGCUGGCAUGCAGCUGUGUGGUAGCACCAGAGGCCAAUCGAGCACUACUGCUCAUGUCUGACAGCCAAACCUCAGCUCCCCCGUUCUGAUGAUUUCAUGUGGAAGCCCGACCUACUGCAAUGGGCAAAGUUGUUCCUUGAUCAAUGCGCUACACAUUUUGUGUAAGAAUCAUGUUUCAAAUUGACUUAA